GCUCAGUCAAUCUCCAUGUAAAACCAAAGGUACUUGCAUUCAGGAAAAAGCAGAGUCCCGGUGCCUGUGUCCAUCAGGAUGGGCUGGUGCUUACUGUGACGUGCCCAAUGUGUCCUGUGAGGUGGCGGCCUUCCACUAGGGGUGUCCACUGACCACCUGUGCCAGCACUCCGGCAUCUGCAUCAAUGCUGGCAACUCGCAUCACUGCCAGUGCCCCCUGGGCUACACUGGGAGCUACUGUGAGGAGCAGCUCGAUGAGUGCUCAUCCAACCCCUGCUAGCAUGGGGCCACCUGCAGGGACUUCAUUGGCGGGUACAGAUGUGAGUGUGUCCCAGGAUAUCAGGGCGUCAAUUGCGAGUAUGAAGUAGAUGAGUGUCAGAAUCAGCCAUGCCAGAACGGAGGCACCUGUGUCGACCUCGUGAACCAUUUCAAGUGCUCCUGUCCACCAGGCACUCGAGGCCUGCUUUGUGAAGAGAACAUUGAUGACUGUGCUGGAGGUCUCAAUAGUGGGGUGCUCCUCAUGGCCUCUGGCUGCCUGACAUCAACAGAAGCCUGUGCUGAAACUCCAAACCAGAAAGAAUCCCAUUUUUAC